UGGGGAAUAUUGGACAAUGGGCGAAAGCCUGAUCCAGCAAUUCCGCGUGUGUGAAGAAGGCCUUCGGGUUGUAAAGCACUUUAGUUGGGGAAGAAACAGCUUGGCCACACCAAGCCUUGACGGUACCCAAAGAAUAAGCACCGGCUAACUCUGUGCCAGCAGCCGCGGUAAUACAGAGGGUGCAAGCGUUAAUCGGAUUUACUGGGCGUAAAGGGUGCGUAGGUGGCUUUUUAAGUCGGAUGUGAAAGCCCGGGGCUUAACCUCGGAAUUGCAUUCGAUACUGGGAGGCUAGAGUUCGGUAGAGGGCGGCGGAAUUCCCGGUGUAGCGGUGAAAUGCGUAGAUAUCGGGAGGAACAUCAAUGGCGAAGGCAGCCGCCUGGGCCUGGACUGACACUGAGGC
rnacentral:rRNA from 1 species